CCACUCUUCAAUCCACAUGAAGAAAAGGAUCUUCCUCAGAAGAAUAGGCUUGUUGUUUUACAGUGUUAGUGAUCCAUUCCCUUUGACGAUCCCUAGGUGGAGAUGGGGCAUGAGGAUCCUCCAGGGGAAAAGCUCACUACCACUGGGCAACAACCCUAGGUCAGGAGGUUCUGUCAAGAUACUUUCCUGGUCCCAGAUAGGAAGAUAAAGUCUCAAAAACAACCACCACACGUCAAGCUCUUCAUUGUUCCUAUCUGCCAAAUCAUUAUACUUCCUACAAGCAGUGCAGAGAGCUGAGUCUUCAGCAGGUCCAAGAAAUUUGAACACACUGAAGGAAGUCAGCCUUCCCACCUGAAGAUCAACAUGCCUGGCACUCUAGCACUUGAGGAUAGCUGAAUGAAUGUGUCUUACCCAUUUCCAUGUUUCUCUUGCUAAUUUCUUUCGUGUGUGCCUUUGCCUCAUUUUCUCUUUUUGUUCACAAGAGUGGUCUGUGUCUUGUCUUAGACAUAUCUCUCAUUUUUCAUUUUGUUGCUAUUUCUCUUUGCUCUCCUAGAUGUGGCUCUUCUUUCACGCUUUAUUUCAU
ensembl:lncRNA XIST X inactive specific transcript